CCUACGGGUGGCAGCAGUGGGGAAUAUUGGACAAUGGGGGAAACCCUUAUCCAGCGACGCCGCGUGAGGGAAGAAGGUUUUCGGAUUGUAAACCUCUGUCAGUGGGGACGAUAAUGACGGUACCCACGGAGGAAGCCACGGCUAACUACGUGCCAGCAGCCGCGGUAAUACGUAGGUGGCAAGCGUUGUCCGGAAUUACUGGGUGUAAAGGGAGCGUAGGCGGGAUGUCAAGUCAGAAGUGAAAACCAUGGGCUCAACCUGUGGCCUGCAUUUGAAACUGUUUUUCUUGAGUACUGGAGAGGCAGACGGAAUUCCUAGUGUAGCGGUGAAAUGCGUAGAUAUUAGGAGGAACACCAGUGGCGAAGGCGGUCUGCUGGACAGCAACUGACGCUGAGGCGCGAAAGCGUGGGGAGCAAACAGGAUUAGAUACCCGAGUAGUC
rnacentral:rRNA from 1 species